UCGCUCGGUUCCGCGCCGGCUGGGCAUUUCUGCUCCGUUUGCGGGAGCAUCGCUAGCCCUCCUCGGCGCGGGCGGCUCCCCCGCUCCCUCCCCCGCGCUGCUGGAGGAAGAAGAGGCAGUAAGGAGAGUUGAAUCACAAGUUUUCUUCAUAUUUUUUCUUAAUGACCGAUGGUGAACACAGUUGCUCUGGAAAAAAGCGACAGGAUUAAAACAGCGUGUCUCAAGAAUAAACAAAAUCGACCUCAUGUCAAUAUUGAAGAAGUAUACAAAGACUGCAAUGUAAUAAACUUUGAAGACUACUAAAGAUCCAUAUGGAACAUUCUGCAUCUGAAGAACAUUAACUCUGGAUCCUGCAGAAGGGUCUAAAAGAUGAAGGUGACUAAUCUGGCCUCUUUAAUGACUAGGAAAAGAAACAAAUUGGAAAAUAACCACCUCCCAGGCCUCACUUUGUGCUGUGACCUGGAAAAGAAACCCUAUUGGCACCAGCAAUCAAACUUUCCUGUAUUAUCUUCCCAGGGGGUUGAUUAUACUGUCCUAAAUAUUGUGUGAGUGACUGAGGUCCAGAAUUCUUUACACUGAAGUUAUUCCUCAAGAAUCCAAACACAAUUAGAAAAGCAGAAACACAGAGUGGUAGUCAGUAUACAGUAUGGCAUUACAGUAACAAAAGCUCAGAAUUGCCAGUCAGGAGGGGUAGCAAAACAAGGAUAUAGCAUGCCAGCUGCUGACUUUAUGAUUUUUAAGGCACCUUUCACAACAGGAGCAAAAAAGUUGUUCAGAAAACUGGAAAGCAUGGCAGUAUCACAUAUGUUUUUU